UUUUUUUUACGAUAGCGAUAGUGAAGAAGAGAGCACGCUUAUUCCACAGAGGCGAGAGUUGAGGGAUAAAAGUGACUCUUUUUCGCUAAGUGAAAAUGAGUUUCGGCAGUAUAUCAUACUUAGUCGAGAAGCAUUCCAUAAUAUUUUGGAUACAACCGUGUUCCAAACAUGGCUCAACCAACUGUUUCAUCAGUGUUCAAUACAAUGAUGCCACUUCUGGAAAGAAGCUUAUGCGAAAAAUGGAUCGAAUUGGAUACAACAUCGUUUAAUGAAAUAAAGCAAUAUUUCUUCGACAAAUUCAAGAUACCCGGUGUAUUGAUGGUUCUCAUACACCCAUUUUAAGGUCUACGGAAAAUGAACAAUUCCUUUGUGAUUCCAUAGUGCUGAAAUAAAAGUAUUUUAUUUACACUCA